rnacentral:lncRNA from 1 species
ACACUGGCCUCCUCGAGCGCGCCGCCCGCGCCCAGCGCCCCACGCCCCGCGCCCCGGGCCGUGCAGCCAGCCCUUACCUUGCAGCGCCCGGCUGUCUCCCGAUCGCUAAAGCUACUUAUCCCGGGAAAGCUCGCGCGGGACCCGGGAACGAACCCACAGACAAAAAGUGAAACUUCGGCAGGGCUGGAGCGGCUGCUGGUUGGUGCCUUUCCCCCUCCUUCCUCCCCACCGUCCCCACCCCCUCCCCUUGGUCUCCCGUGCGGUGCCCUGAGCGCUGGAGGCUGACGUCAGGGGCCUGAAUUCCUGACUUUGCCUGCACGCAUUUGUCCAUGUAAGGUAUGGGAAGGCGUGUGCCCGCGAAGCCGCCGCGCAGAGCUCGCCUGGCGGGGGAGGGGAAACCCGCAGCCGGCAGUGGCUUUGCCAAAAGGUGGGCGCACUGAGGGCAUUGCAUUUCCUGGGAGGAAGAGGAGGAGACGCGGGAAUGCAGGGAGCUUGCAAAGGAGGAAGAGAAAGAGGGAGAUGUGGAGACUUUGCCCCUGCUAGAGGAAGAGGAAGGAGACGUAGGAGGAAGCGGCCGCGUCAGGGGGCUCCUGGAAAAUGGAAAAGCCUGCGUCUACUAUUAAGGCGUCAAAUUAGGGCACUGAGCUUGAGUGGAAGAGAUCCAGCCAUGAAAUCCCCUUCCAAGAUUUUCCUCGUGAGCCCCGCCCUGGAUUCCCAGCAAGACUCAAAACUUACAAGGUGUCAGAGCUGGCAAAGACCAACUUCCAACCCGUCCGCUUGGCACGUGAGGAAACUGAAGCUCUCGGAAGAGAAAUGACUUGUACAGGGUCGUCACUCAGCAGAUCGAGGAGCGGGCCCAGGCGCUCUGCCUCCCACUUGGGUUCCCGCCUCCAGGAAGGGCCCUGGCUCCCUUUUAGCCCUGAGCCUUGAAGCAGGUUAGAUGCCCGCGAGCUGUGCGGACCACCCAGUGAUUUCUACUGCUCUUGGCCCAGAGCCAGUUCCUGGAAGGUCCUGGUUGACAGCGAGCCCUGAAUAUCAAUGACAAUCAGUUGCUUCAGGGCAACUUCCUCUGUCCUGUGCUCAAAUAAAUGAAUCCCUGGAGUUUAACGUUUACUUCUGAGCCCCGCCCAGAAAGCUUGCUCUGUGCUUAUAGCUUCAAAAAAGUCUGCGAACGAGAUGAACUGGUUUGAAUACAGACAAGCCUGUCAUUGGA